rnacentral:lncRNA from 1 species
AACUGCACCCAUCAUCAUCAGAAAUAAACAAUUUGUCAGAUAUGAUGAUCACGUAAGCACUAGCGCAAACUGAUAAUUGAAUGAGAGCUAAAAGAAUCACAAAGCGUCAUUUCGAUGUCUAAUCCCAGACCCCACAAGAACUCUAUUCAUUCAUAUUCAUAUAUCCAGUUGUUCUGCGUCUUUGCUGCCGUCGCCGUCGCAGGGCGCGACGGGCGAAAAUGAUUGGUUCGCCAUGGGCAUCGAAUGCUUCCCCACCGAGGACAGCGACCCAUUCGAAUCAUUUGGGCAAGUUGCGCCGGUGCAGCCCCCCUAGUAGCAUGGCCCAUUCCAAAAAAGAAAAAAGAAAAAUCAGCGGCCCAAAACCGUGGGCCACGCUUAUCCCCGCAUUCAUUUCGAAAGCAACACAUUAUCGUCGACUUCUUCGUUUUCUUUUGUGUUGUUUGACGCGAUGAUGACACGAAUUUACGUUACGUUCGUCGUCGUAGAACACGGACGGACGGACGGACGGCGAGGUGCUUCUAAUUUCAAGCUUACCCUGAGGCUGUUCUUCUUGCGGGCGGAGCGGUCGACGUCGGCGAGGCGGUACUCGUGCAUGAUCCAGUUGGUCUUCUCGCCCUUGGGCGCCUUGCCGGCGUAGAAGACGAGCGCCUUCUUGAUGGCGAGCGGCUUGGGCGUGCCCACGGGCUUGUCGGCGCCGGUGGCCUUCCAGUAGCCGGACCCGGCGGCGCGGUUCGGCCUCGACCCGUUCGGGUACUUGCGG